rnacentral:pre_miRNA from 1 species
GAGACACUCUUCUGGUGCAAGAUUUGCUUCAGUGGGGCUUUGGUGCUCACUGAGUCUCCCCCCUGAGUGUGUCCCU